rnacentral:rRNA from 1 species
ACUCCUACGGGGAGGCAGCAGUGGGGAAUAUUGGACAAUGGGGGGAACCCUGAUCCAGCCAUGCCGCGUGUGUGAAGAAGGCCUUAUGGUUGUAAAGCACUUUAAGCGAGGAGGAGGCUUACCUAGUUAAUACCUAGGCUAAGUGGACGUUACUCGCAGAAUAAGCACCGGCUAACUCUGUGCCAGCAGCCGCGGUAAUACAGAGGGUGCGAGCGUUAAUCGGAUUUACUGGGCGUAAAGCGUGCGUAGGCGGUUCAUUUAAAGUCAAAUGUGAAACUCCCCCCGAGCUUAACUUGGGGAAUUGCAUUCGAUACUGGAUGGCUAGAGUAUGGGAGAGGAUGGUAGAAUUCCAGGUGUAGCGGUGAAAUGCGUAGAGAUCUGGAGGAAUACCGAUGGCGAAGGCAGCCAUCUGGCCUAAUACUGACGCUGAGGUACGAAAGCAUGGGGAGCGAAACAGGAUUAGAUACCCUGGUAGCGACUGA